CAGUGGCUCCACUGGCUUACUUUCGCGGCUGGAAUUAUUUCUUUGGUGAAUCUAUAGAAAAUAGAACGGUGAAUAUAACGGUAGAAAAAUUGCAUAAAACGAAAAAUGAGAAGGGGCUCAACGGAAAAGGUUGCGAGUUUUGCCCAUGGCGGUUCUGUCAGGCUUUGCCCACGGUUUUCAGCUCAACUUUCAUUCAUUUUGCUCCGAUAUGGCCACAUGAGUGCUCGCAAUCAAAUUCUGAGCCGGUAGGAGAAUUUUUACUUUUUUUGAAGGUCGGAGGUGGCUCCGGUGCGGCGACAGUCGGCAGUCGACUCCCUUCUCCAGCAACUGAUUCUUCUUCUCCGGUGGGAGGCUGGCGGCUAGGGUUUGGGUUCAUUGGGAUGUGAAAUAUUUAUACCCAUCUCGCAUUACGUCUGAUCGUUCAUCGCGUCUGAUCGUUCGAUCGCGCCUAAGGAGGAAACUAAUUUAGACCGUUCAUCGCGUUUUAUCUCGACCGUCCGAUCGCGCCUAAGGAAAAAACGGAUCCGGACCCUCCACACCCGUGAGAUUGCUUCUGGGUCGUCCGAUCGCGGGGCACACGGAUUGAUAGUGUAGCUUCCCGC
rnacentral:lncRNA from 1 species